rnacentral:rRNA from 1 species
UACAGAGGUCUCAACCGUUGUUCGGAUUCAUUGGGCGUAAAGGGUGCGUAGGCGGUCGCGCAAGUCGGAUGUGAAAUCUCAGGGCUCAACCCUGAAACUGCAUUCGAUACUGCGUGGCUAGAGUGCUGGAGGGGAGACUGGAAUUUACGGUGUAGCAGUGAAAUGCGUAGAUAUCGUAAGGAAGACCAGUGGCGAAGGCGAGUCUCUGGACAGUUCCUGACGCUGAGGCACGAAGGCCAGGGGAGCAAACAGG